rnacentral:tRNA from 1 species
GCAGUGAUGGCCGAGUGGUUAAGGAGUCUGACUAGAAAUCAGAUGGGAUCUUCCUCUUAGUUUCGAAUCCUACUCACUGCG